rnacentral:rRNA from 1 species
GAUGAACGCUGGCGGCGUGCCUAAUACAUGCAAGUCGAGCGAACAGAUGAGGAGCUUGCUCCUCUGACGUUAGCGGCGGACGGGUGAGUAACACGUGGAUAACCUACCUAUAAGACUGGGAUAACUUCGGGGAACCGGAGCUAAUACCGGAUAAUAUAUUGAACCGCAUGGUUCAAUAGUGAAAGACGGUUUUGCUGUCACUUAUAGAUGGAUCCGCGCCGCAUUAGCUAGUUGGUAAGGUAACGGCUUACCAAGGCAACGAUGCGUAGCCGACCUGAGAGGGUGAUCGGCCACACUGGAACUGAGACACGGUCCAGACUCCUACGGGAGGCAGCAGUAGGGAAUCUUCCGCAAUGGGCGAAAGCCUGACGGAGCAACGCCGCGUGAGUGAUGAAGGUCUUCGGAUCGUAAAACUCUGUUAUUAGGGAAGAACAAAUGUGUAAGUAACUAUGCACGUCUUGACGGUACCUAAUCAGAAAGCCACGGCUAACUACGUG